GCUGUCAUGAUUUGACAGAUAUCCACUGACUCCAAAUUCUCGAUUCCACGCUUUAAUAUCGAAUAUUUCCGCGAUCCUAGACUUAGGUGAUGUUCUCAUUCUUGAAUGGCAAACAUAACGCAAAGUUUACCAUUCUCAUGCUCAACUAAUUCUCUCGGCCAAUCAAGUCAGCCGGGGGAAACAACCGCCAUCUUGGUCAACCAGCCAAUCAGCUGCCCGACACAUGGAGAGCCUCCAUUCACAUGAAUACUUCGCCCGGUGUCUUCACCUCCGACCUCGCAUAACCGCAAAGUAAACGUCAACAGACUCACGUACCUGGCAGCUGUCAGCAACUCUCCGAAUCUCGUAUUCACCACCAGUUCCAGAGUAUAUUUGAGUGCUGUGCCCCUUCACCUUUAACGCAGAACUUUCCAGCAGGGAACCACACAUAUAGGAUCCAGACAGCGCAAUAGACAGUCAACGCCAUCAAUACCCCAUAGGACAAAUUCGGGCACACUACAUCUCCAGACUAUCCAUCCUACUGCUCCAAAUAACCAUGCGAGCAUGGCCCCGCUGCGCAGGGAACAAUACCAGAGCACACACCCAUACAUGGAAUCAACAGCAUACAUACAUAAUAUAAUAUCCUUAUUAUGUAAUUUAUCACCACAUUCUUAUUAAAUAUAUCAAUGAUAAUUAUG